CCAGAGUUGACAAGUGUAAUAGAGAGGGAGAGAGGGACUUGAAAGAUGAAGGGACCAGAAAAACAGUGGUUUUGGGGGCCUGAGUUCUGGGCAGCACCUUCCCUUUUCCUCCCACUAAGCUAGAUAGCGAUAAUGGAGUCAGUCAGUCCAGACCAGAGGAUGGACGAGUGGAAAUGUUGUGGUUACUUCCAGCUGGACCCAGAUGAAGCAUAUGUGCCUAGUUGGGUGAUAUUGGCUAAAGUGUAUUCUAAAGUCCAGGUUCUAAAAUUUAUGGCCAAUACAGUAACCCUGGCUAAAUUUUGGAGGGAUAUAUGCCAGAAACUGCAUAAUUGACUGCUGAGCUCCAGAGCCCAGACACCACGUGAUCCAGUCACAGCCACACUGAGCAUGGAGACCAGCAGGAUUUUGUGAUAGAAAGAAAUGACUUAAAACCUUUCAAAAAUAUUUUCUUUGGCUGAAAGAGAUGAACAACAUUUAUGUCCUUUCAUUUAUGGCAUAAGUGGGCAAAUGUGGAAACAUGUGGAAUUACUGAACUGGACUCAAAAAAUAAACAAAGCUGGGAACACA
rnacentral:lncRNA from 1 species